rnacentral:lncRNA from 13 species
GGCUCCUCCAUCAACCACUGCAAAUGCUUCUAAAUGGACUGUGAGCAGAUGCAUAGCAUUUGCUGUAUGGGUUAACUCAGAAGCAUAAAUUUGCCCCUGGCAAAUGCGUAGACUUCAUGCUAGCCUCACAAAAUAGGAAUAAGCCUUUGAAAAUAAAUUGUCCUUGAAGCCUGUAUCUGAUGUCAGAACUGGACUGUAGAAUGUGUUGCUGAUUUUGACCUUGUAUUGAAGGACAACUCUGUGAAGUGCCUACUGAACAGAUAACAAAACUGAACUCGAGGAAAUGAGCGUCAAAGCCACUAAUGCGAGUGACACAUAUCUGAGACAGGCCUCUUCAAGUCUUCCUUAUAAAUGAGAAACUGAAGACUUUUCCAACAGAAAUACUUCCGACUUCUCCAGAAGCUUUAAUUUUGCCUAAUAAGGUGUGAAUUGAUGGGAUCUAUUAUUUAGAAUGAGUCGCGCACUGGGAGCACCCUCAGCAAAUCCUCUGAAAUUGAUAAAAAUAUGAGCUCUAACGGGACAGAGAGCAUUCAUUUGUUACACCCUUCCAAAG